AGGGCUGCUUGGCUGAUCAUAUGGUGAGCAUGUCGUCGCGCACUAGGAGCGACAGGGGAUGUUCUACCGAAGAUUCCUGUCACUUCAAUAUGAGGUGCAAUAUUUUAAAUCUUUUAUCUGAGGUAAAUGAUGGUUGAAGUAUGACCGUUUUUAUGUUGUUAAAUAUACACGAGAAAUUGUCAUGUAAUUCUUGACACCUUGACCGGGAAGUGAAGCAUUUCGAAGUUCCUACCUCCUUUUCCGUAGUAAGAUGAACCCUGAAAUGAGUAAUACUGCCAGUGCACAUAUCUUUUCAUUUGUGCCGCGGCAAUGUUUUAAGUGUUGGAUGCUUCAAAUCUAUGCCAAUUUGCUGUUGGGUAGAUGCAUCAUUCAUUCAUACAAGCACCUUGGAACUGAUAAAAUACCCAGUUUGUUGCAAUUAUUGUGUCUUGCACAGCGUAAAAAUUUUCUGUUGCGAAGUAAGAUGUAACCAAUUAACUUGUUAGACCUAAAAAUUGUUGCUGCCAUUUUUUAACCUUGAUUAAAGCAAGGGACUAGUGUGGCCUCCACAUAGUGAGGCAUACGUAAGAUAAUAUUUCCUUAAGUGGAUACCUAUGAGUCCUAUCUGAACAAACCUUAUGACAGCGAAGGUUUGAUGAGGUGUCCUGACAGUGAAAGUUUGAUGACGAGCCACGAUGGACAAGUAGUAGUAUUUAAGCAAUCGUCUUUGAAGUUCUAACAAACGAGAGUAAUGGGAAAGACAUCACCUUAUGCUGUUUCAUUUCUCUUAAGGUUUAUCUAUGGGGUUAUGCAGAUACUCACCAAAGUUGCUUUUAACCAAGGUACAAGUACAUAUGUUCUUGUUUUCUACAGGCAUGUAAUAGCUACAAUGUUGUUACUGCCCAUUGCUUUUGCAACUGAAAGGAAAACCGCCCCACAACUGUCACACAAAGUCUGUCUGAAGCUAUUUGUGCAUGCAUUAUAUGGGGUGUCUGCUUCUCUAAACAUAUCAUUUGUUGGCCUCAAUUAUGCUUCAGCAACUUCUGCUACUGCAGUACAAAAUGUCCAACCAGUGUUAACUUUCUUUUUGGCUCUUCUAUUGGGGUAUGUGUUUUUAAUGAUGAUUGCAUUACUUCCUUGAAGGCUAGGCCAUUUCUUUUCUUUCCCUUGUGACAAUUAAAUUUUAAACACGUCAUAAAGCUAAUGUUAGUAAAUUUGUAUUUAGGAUACCCAUACAUAAGUAACACGAAUAUGUUAUAUACAGAAGAAUAGCUUGCAUAAACGUCUGAUUAUGAGAAUCAGUGACGGACAUAGUUGAGAUUGUAGUUUAGAGAUGUUUUGCAGCCUAACGAAAUGGUUAUAUUGUAAUGUUUAUAACUCUUCAUGUUAAGAUCACAGGAAAGAAAAAUAUUCCUUUUGCUCUAGGAAACUACACAAUUGUUCAGAGAAGAAAUAUAAUAAUUAAUUCAGUUCUACAUGUUGUAUCAAUAGCAAGAUCAUCGUAGACCCUACUACCAAACCCAACCUAGCCGGUCCUAAACCAGGCCCAAAAGCUUGCCUGACCAUUUUUCGGCCGGAAAACUGUAGGGGCCUAGUCAAGCUUAAUUGCGACGACUAGACUCAGCUUCUAUCAAACUUUAGACAAAGGGUGGAGAUAACAUCUUUGAGUGAUACCUUUUUCUCUCAUUAACAUUGCUUCAAUAAAAUAAUUACAAAGAUUUAUAUUUAUUUAUAGUGGGACUGCUAAUCAAUUGCUAUUGCUUAUGUUCGCGUGAAAUCAGUUGUUUAACGUGAACAAUUAGUUGUUGAUUGUUUUUGAGAUCGCUAAUGAACCAUCAGUUGUGUAAACCUACUUCUGUGUAGAUGUGAGUACUUUGAUGAACUUGGUGUA